rnacentral:rRNA from 1 species
AAAUUGAAGAGUUUGAUCAUGGCUCAGAUUGAACGCUGGCGGCAGGCCUAACACAUGCAAGUCGAGCGGUAGCACAGAGAGCUUGCUCUCGGGUGACGAGCGGCGGACGGGUGAGUAAUGUCUGGGAAACUGCCUGAUGGAGGGGGAUAACUACUGGAAACGGUAGCUAAUACCGCAUAACGUCGCAAGACCAAAGUGGGGGACCUUCGGGCCUCAUGCCAUCAGAUGUGCCCAGAUGGGAUUAGCUAGUAGGUGGGGUAACGGCUCACCUAGGCGACGAUCCCUAGCUGGUCUGAGAGGAUGACCAGCCACACUGGAACUGAGACACGGUCCAGACUCCUACGGGAGGCAGCAGUGGGGAAUAUUGCACAAUGGGCGCAAGCCUGAUGCAGCCAUGCCGCGUGUGUGAAGAAGGCCUUCGGGUUGUAAAGCACUUUCAGCGGGGAGGAAGGCGAUAAGGUUAAUAACCUUGUCGAUUGACGUUACCCGCAGAAGAAGCACCGGCUAACUCCGUGCCAGCAGCCGCGGUAAUACGGAGGGUGCAAGCGUUAAUCGGAAUUACUGGGCGUAAAGCGCACGCAGGCGGUCUGUCAAGUCGGAUGUGAAAUCCCCGGGCUCAACCUGGGAACUGCAUUCGAAACUGGCAGGCUAGAGUCUUGUAGAGGGGGGUAGAAUUCCAGGUGUAGCGGUGAAAUGCGUAGAGAUCUGGAGGAAUACCGGUGGCGAAGGCGGCCCCCUGGACAAAGACUGACGCUCAGGUGCGAAAGCGUGGGGAGCAAACAGGAUUAGAUACCCUGGUAGUCCACGCUGUAAACGAUGUCGAUUUGGAGGUUGUGCCCUUGAGGCGUGGCUUCCGGAGCUAACGCGUUAAAUCGACCGCCUGGGGAGUACGGCCGCAAGGUUAAAACUCAAAUGAAUUGACGGGGGCCCGCACAAGCGGUGGAGCAUGUGGUUUAAUUCGAUGCAACGCGAAGAACCUUACCUGGUCUUGACAUCCACAGAACUUUCCAGAGAUGGAUUGGUGCCUUCGGGAACUGUGAGACAGGUGCUGCAUGGCUGUCGUCAGCUCGUGUUGUGAAAUGUUGGGUUAAGUCCCGCAACGAGCGCAACCCUUAUCCUUUGUUGCCAGCGGUUAGGCCGGGAACUCAAAGGAGACUGCCAGUGAUAAACUGGAGGAAGGUGGGGAUGACGUCAAGUCAUCAUGGCCCUUACGACCAGGGCUACACACGUGCUACAAUGGCAUAUACAAAGAGAAGCGACCUCGCGAGAGCAAGCGGACCUCAUAAAGUAUGUCGUAGUCCGGAUUGGAGUCUGCAACUCGACUCCAUGAAGUCGGAAUCGCUAGUAAUCGUAGAUCAGAAUGCUACGGUGAAUACGUUCCCGGGCCUUGUACACACCGCCCGUCACACCAUGGGAGUGGGUUGCAAAAGAAGUAGGUAGCUUAACCUUCGGGAGGGCGCUUACCACUUUGUGAUUCAUGACUGGGGUGAAGUCGUAACAAGGUAACCGUAGGGGAACCUGCGGUUGGAUCACCUCCUUA